rnacentral:rRNA from 1 species
UACAGAGGGUGCAAGCGUUAAUCGGAAUUACUGGGCGUAAAGCGUGCGUAGACGGUUAUGUAAGUCAGGUGUGAAAGCCCCGGGCUCAACCUGGGAAUUGCAUUUGAGACUGCAUAGCUAGGGUGCGGAAGAGGGAAGCGGAAUUUCCGGUGUAGCGGUGAAAUGCGUAGAUAUCGGGAGGAACACCCGUAGCGAAGGCGGCACUCUGGGCCGGAACUGACGCUGAGGAGCGAAAGCGUGGGGAGCAAACAGG